rnacentral:rRNA from 1 species
AACGAACGCUGGCGGCGUGGAUUAGGCAUGCAAGUCGAACGGUCUGUCUAGCUUUUUCGGACGGAUAGUGGCGAAAGGGUGAGUAACACGUGGGUUACCUGCCCUAGGGUGUGGGAUAACCUGUCGAAAAGACGGGCUAAUACCGCAUACGUCCUAUGCUUUUCGAAGCAUAGGGGAAAGAUGGGGAUCCGUAAGGACCUAUCACCCUUGGAUGGGCCCGCGGCCUAUCAGCUAGUUGGUGAGGUAAUGGCUCACCAAGGCUAAGACGGUAGCUGGUCUGAGAGGAUGGUCAGCCACACUGGAACUGAGACACUGUCCAGACACCUACGGGAGGCAG